CCCUGAACAAGGCAGUUAACCCACUGUUCCUAGGCCGUCAUUGUAAAUAAGAAUGUCUUCUUAACUGACUUUUGCCUAGUAAAAUAAAAAAUAAAUUGGGAAGAGCGACGUACCAUUUACACUUAUACUGUUCCCCUUUAUCAGCUGACAUCGCCAUAGUAACUGAGAACACAUCCUGCCUAAAGCCAGAUGUGAUCGUCACCAAAGUCGUCAGGUACAGAUGAAUGUUUAUAACUACAUGAUUCCUCUUUAGACACGCCCCUAGUAAAGACAGCAUUUCAUUGCUGUUACUACUAGUUCUAGCCUGCUUCUCAGCAGAGAGAGAGAGACCUGUUUGAGGCCAGACUCUCUCUCUCUCUCUCUCUCUGUGUGUGUGUGGUAGCUAGAUGGAAAGACAUGGGAUAUUUUCUCUACUCCAGUAGUCUGACAAGGUAUUUAUCAUAAGUGGGUACAGAACAUUCUGCUCUUGCAGAAUGAAACACAUUCUUCAUCAGUCUCAGGCUACCAAUAUUGUACCUUUUUGCUUUUUAGCACCAUUAAGCUUUGAAAUUACCCACAAGAGAACAAAACGUCUGGGAAGAGGUCUCUACCGCCAUAUCUCUAAAUGAGGACCUGCUCACAAGAGAACAAGAGGUCUGGGAAGAGGUCUCUACCACCAUAUCUCUUAAUGAGGACCUGCUCACAAGAGAACAAGAGGUCUGUGAAGAGGUCUCUACCACCAUAUCUCUUAAUGAGGACCUGCUCACAAGACGUCUGGGAAGAGGUCUCUACCGCCAUAUCUCUUAAUGAGGACCUGCUAAGAAGAGGUCUGGGAAGAGGUCUCUACCUCCAUAUCUCUUAAUGAGGACCUGCUCACAAGAGGUCUGGGAAGAGAUCUCUACCUACAUAUCUCUUAAUGAGGACCUGCUAAGAAGAGGUCUGGGAAGAGGUCUCUACCGCCAUAUCUCUUAAUGAGGACCUGCUAACAAGAGGUCUGGGAAGAGGUCUCUACCUACAUAUCUCUUAAUGAGGACCUGCUAAGAAGAGGUCUGGGAAGAGGUCUCUACCGCCAUAUCUCUUAAUGAGGACCUGCUAACAAGAGGUCUGGGAAGAGAUCUCUACCUACAUAUCUCUUAAUGAGAACCUGCUCACAAGAGAACAAGAGGUCUGGGAAGAGGUCUCUACCUCCAUAUCUCUUAAUGAGGACCUGCUCACAAGAGGUCUGGGAAGAGGUCUCUACCUACAUAUCUCUUAAUGAGAACCUGCUCACAAGAGAACAAGAGGUCUGGGAAGAGGUCUCUACCUCCAUAUCUCUUAAUGAGGACCUGCUCACAAGAGGUCUGGGAAGAGAUCUCUACCUACAUAUCUCUUAAUGAGAACCUGCUCACAAGAGAACAAGAGGUCUGGGAAGAGGUCUCUACCUCCAUAUCUCUUAAUGAGGACCUGCUCACAAGAGGUCUGGGAAGAGGUCUCUAACUACAUAUCUCUUAAUGAGGACCUGCUCACAAGAGGUCUGGGAAGAGAUCUCUACCUACAUAUCUCUUAAUGAGAACCUGCUCACAAGAGAACAAGAGGUCUGGGAAGAGGUCUCUACCUCCAUAUCUCUUAAUGAGGACCUGCUCACAAGAGGUCUGGGAAGAGGUCUCUACCUACAUAUCUCUUAAUGACGACCUGCGUUGCUUUUAUAACCACAGCGGGAGGGUUGUCCUGCAUCUUUGUGAGGAUUUGGUUUCCUAUGGUUACCAUGGCAGCAAGACACUCUGUUACCUCAUGCUCCGUUAUGAUGUCAGCAGGUGACUGUGGUCCAAAAUGACACCCUAGUUUCUGUAGUCCACAAGCUCUGUUCCAAUGUAAUGCACUUUAAAAUGUAAGUAGGGUGCCAUUUCAGAUAUAUACAAUACACUGAACUGUGUUCAUAAUGUCCAGUACAGUAGACUGUGUUCAUAAUGUCCAGUACAGUAGACUGUGUUCAUAAUGUCCAGUACAGUAGACUGUGUUCAUAAUGUCCAAUACACUGAACUGUGUUCAUAAUGUCCAACACAGUAGACUGUGUUCAUAAUGUCCACUACAGUAGACUGUGUUCAUAAUGUCCAAUACAGUAGACUGUGUUCAUGUGUUCAUAAUGUCCAAUACAGUAGACUGUGUUCAUAAUGUCCAGUACAGUAGACUGUGUUCAUAAUGUCCAGUACAGUAGACUGUGUUCAUAAUGUCCAGUACAGUAGACUGUGUUCAUAAUGUCCAGUACAGUAGACUGUGUUCAUAAUGUCCAGUACAGUAGACUGUGUUCAUAAUGUCCACUACAGUAGACUGUGUUCAUAAUGUCCAAUACAGUAGACUGUGUUCAUGUGUUCAUAAUGUCCAAUACAGUAGACUGUGUUCAUAAUGUCCAGUACAGUAGACUGUGUUCAUAAUGUCCAAUACAGUAGACUGUGUUCAUAAUGUCCAGUACAGUAGACUGUGUUCAUAAUGUCCAAUACAGUAGACUGUGUUCAUGUGUUCAUAAUGUCCAAUACAGUAGACUGUGUUCAUAAUGUCCAGUACAGUAGACUGUGUUCAUAAUGUCCAGUACAGUAGACUGUGUUCAUAAUGUCCACUACAGUAGACUGUGUUCAUAAUGUCCACUACAGUAGACUGUGUUCAUGUGUUCAUAAUGUCCAAUACAGUAGACUGUGUUCAUAAUGUCCAAUACAGUAGACUGUGUUCAUAAUGUCCAGUACAGUAGACUGUGUUCAUAAUGUCCAGUACAGUAGACUGUGUUCAUGUGUUCAUAAUGUCCACUACAGUAGACUGUGUUCAUGUGUUCAUAAUGUCCAAUACAGUAGACUGUGUUCAUGUGUUCAUAAUGUCCAAUACAGUAGACUGUGUUCAUAAUGUCCAAUACAGUAGACUGUGUUCAUAAUGUCCAGUACAGUAGACUGUGUUCAUAAUGUCCAAUACAGUAGACUGUGUUCAUAAUGUCCAGUACAGUAGACUGUGUUCAUAAUGUCCACUACAGUAGACUGUGUUCAUAAUGUCCAGUACAGUAGACUGUGUUCAUAAUGUCCAAUACAGUAGACUGUGUUCAUAAUGUCCAGUACAGUAGACUGUGUUCAUAAUGUCCACUACAGUAGACUGUGUUCAUGUGUUCAUAAUGUCCAAUACAGUAGACUGUGUUCAUGUGUUCAUAAUGUCCAAUACAGUAGACUGUGUUCAUAAUGUCCAAUACAGUAGACUGUGUUCAUAAUGUCCAGUACAGUAGACUGUGUUCAUAAUGUCCAGUACAGUAGACUGUGUUCAUAAUGUCCAGUACAGUAGACUGUGUUCAUAAUGUCCAGUACAGUAGACUGUGUUCAUAAUGUCCAGUACAGUAGACUGUGUUCAUAAUGUCCAGUACAGUAGACUGUGUUCAUAAUGUCCAGUACAGUAGACUGUGUUCAUAAUGUCCAGUACAGUAGACUGUGUUCAUAAUGUCCAGUACAGUAGACUGUGUUCAUAAUGUCCACUACAGUAGACUGUGUUCAUAAUGUCCAGUACAGUAGACUGUGUUCAUAAUGUCCAGUACAGUAGACUGUGUUCAUAAUGUCCACUACAUCACUGUGUUCAUAUCUGUCAACGAGGGCCUCUGAAGUCCAUACGAACGGUCACAUGAUAAUUCCUCUAAGCUCUAUUCGAGGAAUCCUGUAGGAAUGUUACAGUCCUCCACCUUGUUAGUUUUGGUUGUCUUGAUCCUUGUUUGAUCACACAAGAUGUAGAAACACUGCUGCAGGCAGAAAUAUGUGGCUGGAAGUUUCCAUUCGAAGCAGAAAUAUGUCUCCUACUGUACUGUUAAGUGUCGUCUCUGAGACCAAGUAGUCUACGGGCUAAGCUAACAUAGUAUCUAGUAUCAAUAUGGGGAAUACACAGUAUAUCUGAGGUGAUUGUUAUUGAAUGGUACAUUAUCCACUAGCAUUACCACCCGCCCUCUUUAGAGUGGUAGAAUGAUAUCCAAUCAGGGCUGAAACUCUGAUUAAUUGAUUAGUUGAUCACCCUGUGUGUCUCUGUACUGCCCUGUAACCAUACCAACAGAACCUGCCUUCUAAAAGGGGGAACGUGGUGUUUAAGCUCAUCGUUAGUUUGCUGUAAAGAGUAGUGUCACGGUAACGCUGUUUGUGUUCGCCUGAUGUCAUCACACCGGUGGCUUUACCUGUCCCUGCUUUUGGAAAAAAUGAACCCUCUUUAGAGUCUAAAUGAGGUCUUCUGUAAUAUUGACCAAUAUUUGUCCCAGUAUGUAUAUACCACAGCUAUGCUGCCAUGGAACCAUAAUGUGUAUACAACGUCUCAAUGAAACUCAGUCACUAUGUUGAGGUGUCCCAGCUGUACAGUUCCCUGCAAACAUUCAUGUCCAGAAUGACAGACAUGUACAGUUAUUCCUGGUCUGAUGUGUCUCUCUGCUUACAUCUACCUUUUUGUAGGAGGUUCUUUUUUACUCCCUAGAUGAUUAUUUUGUGAUGACUAUGUCCUAUGCAAAUAUGAAAAAAAUUAACAGGAUUAAUACGAUAUAAUGUUAUGUUGUCUUAACUUGUAUGCAUGGAUUUGUGAAGUUUACAUUUGGUAAAUUAAAUUCAUAAAUUAGCAUUUUU